GGUGGCUCAGUGGUAGAGUUCUUGCUUUGAAUGCAUGAAGUCCUGGGUUCAAUUCCUCAGUACCA
rnacentral:tRNA from 1 species